rnacentral:rRNA from 1 species
AUUGAACGCUGGCGGCAGGCCUAACACAUGCAAGUCGAACGAGUGGCGGACGGGUGAGUAAUUUCUGGGAAACUGCCUGAUGGAGGUCGAUAACUACUGGAAACGGUAGCUAAUACCGCAUACCAUCUGAUGUGCCCAGAGUGGAUUAGCUAGUAGGUGGGGUAACGGCUCACCUAGGCGACGAUCCCUAGCUGGUCUGAGAGGAGGACCAGCAACACGGGAACUGAGACACGGGCCAGACGCCUACGGGAGGCAGCAGUGGGGAAUAUUGGACAAUGGGCGAAAGCCUGAGGCAGCCAUGCCGCGUGUAUGAAGAAGGCCUUCGGGUUGUAAAGUACUGUCAGCGGGGAGGCGUUACCCGCAGAAGAAGCACCGGCUAACUCCGUGCCAGCAGCCGCGGUAAUUC